rnacentral:rRNA from 1 species
GACGAACGCUGGCGGCGUGCCUAAUACAUGCAAGUCGAGCGGACCACUUCGGUGGUCAGCGGCGGACGGGUGAGUAACACGUGGGCAACCUGCCUGUAAGACUGGGAUAACACCGGGAAACCGGUGCUAAUACCGGAUAAUCCUUUCCUUCACAUGAGGGAAAGCUGAAAGACGGUUUCGGCUGUCACUUACAGAUGGGCCCGCGGCGCAUUAGCUAGUUGGUGAGGUAAUGGCUCACCAAGGCAACGAGGCGUAGCCGACCUGAGAGGGUGAUCGGCAACACUGGGACUGGGACACGGCCCAGACUCCUACGGGAGGCAGCAGUAGGGAAUCUUCCGCAAUGGACGAAAGUCUGACGGAGCAACGCCGCGUGAGCGAUGAAGGCCUUCGGGUCGUAAAGCUCUGUUGUCAGGGAAGAACAAGUACCGGAGUAACUGCCGGUACCUUGACGGUACCUGACCAGAAAGCCACGGCUAACUACGUGCCAGCCGCCGCGGUAAAAC